UCUUUUUUCCAGGCUCAGUCAUUCCAGUAAAGUUGGUUAUCUCAGAGUUGGUAUUUCAGUCUUGAUCUUUGCCUUGAAGCAUUGCGUCUUUGAGGCAUUGUAGUUGGUAUCUUUCCCUUGAAGUAUUGUGUAGUUCAAAUGACAGGAUAUGCAAAAUUCCUUCUUCUUUGCACCUGAUCACAGAUUAAUUCUUCAGCCAUCCAUUAAUUAGCUUAAUUGGUUUACUGUUUGGUAACUCAUACAUUGGCGUCUUGUUGCUUACACAGUCAAUUAAAUCUUCUUCUGUUUUCAUGAAAAGAGUUACCAUUCUUUCACCAUUCACCCUCUCACAGACAC